UAAGUGCAAAUUACUUUUCUUCUGCUUUUUUUUUUUUUUUUGCCUUCUUGGUUUAUUUGAAUAGGCUACAAAUGCCCAGGUUCCCCCAUCAGAGGCUGAAAGGGGAAGAGCUCUGCCAUUCCUCCAGCCCUGAAGAUGGCAAGCUGCUCUUUCUGUUGCAUGGAACCCCUGAGCAGAAAAAGAGGUACUUGGCAAACUGUAGGAGAUAUUUAGACAGUCCCAGCAACUAUGCUGGAUCAAAGUAAUGUUCCCAAUUCCAGCCACCUGUAGGGACGGCAAAGUGGCAUCUUUUCACAGUGUUGCCACUGCAGAGAGGUAUCACAUUCCCAGCUGUACCUCUGAGGGUAAAUUAGCGACUAAGCCCCCUGCACUCACUAUUCUGAUCACAUUGCCAGAUUCUGGGAAACCAGGAAACACAGGACGCCAGGCUUAGGAUGGAGAGAGCUGUUGAGUCCGGAUGGGGAAUUAGGGGGUGAAAGAACGACCUAAACAGGUGAUGGGUGGGGUGUGAGAAGUGGGUGACCCACUCAACUGCAAUCGGGUUUUCCUUUUUAUAAUUUUAUUUUACACAAGACUAAAGCCUGCAAUCUACAGAGCGCCUAUGCUGUGGAAGGAGAUAUUUAUUCUGGCCAACUUACUAAAGGAGCAUAGAUGUUCUUGGCACGGGGUGGCAAAUGCUUUGCUUCAUUAAUCUUACUGCUCCAUCCCAAGAAUCCCUGAAGUUUUAAACAAUUCCUGCAAGAAGCAUUCUUCCAGUAAUAAUGUAAAACACAAAACCAACCAAGCAACAGCAAAAAUGCAAAGCAGAGACAUAUGUGGACCGUCCCCAGUGGAGAUCAGCUUGAAGGAGGGGGCAGAUCUUUCUUCUACUUUCCCUCCCAUCACCCAUUGGGUGGUCGUCUGCUCAGCUUAUGGACAUUUGGGUUCUUCUUUAUGAGCUCUGUGGCUAGGCUCCUGGACUGAUUCCUCUGUGCCGCCACGUGGCUUUAAGGCCUUUCCUUAAAGGGAGACUUGUCCCCAUACUCCAUAGGAUCGGGAAUGAGUCUAUUAUCAAGACUCUAAAAAUAAAUCUUAGAUAUGAAGAGCACUGUGUUAUUGGGCAGUGGAUGAUAAGGCCACCUUACAUUUAGCAAGGCUUUAUAUUUUUCCAAUGCAUAUUAGUAUUCACCUCAUUUGUUCAUAAAUAGUUCCGAAGUUUAUUGCAGGGUAGGUAUUAUUCUAAUUCCAGAGAGAAGGAAAUAGACAUGAAAACUAUAUAAAUUGCCUGCCAUGGUUAUCCAAUGGGGACUGGCAAAGCAAGAACUCUCCCUCUGAUCAGCAAACGUUGUGUUUUCUUUCUAAGACACCCUGCUAUACCCUCCCAAAGAAAGACUUUCAUUUCUAGCAUGAUUUUGAAUUUGGCAGCACCUUGAGAUAAAGUAAAAAGUGCAACAAAAUACGCAUAGCCAGAAGAAAAAUUAUACUGAAUAGACACCAUUCAAUCAACUGAUCCAUUUAACAAUGAACAAACAUGCAAUUACAUGCCCUACUCUUUUUACAUGCAAGGCCCCACUCGUGAAAGUGGUUCAGAAAUUUCGGAUAGUUUUCUGCCGUUCUAAGGAGGAUAUCUAGCUGGUCUGGUUGUUUCUCCCCCUGCAUAGCUAUGGGUGGGAUGUUGAGGUUGAGACACAUCUGGUUCUUGUCACAUUGUCCACCAGAUAAACAAGAAGCGAUCUGUGAAGGAAAAAAUUCAAAGCCUGAACGCACGAGUGGUGAUGAAUUGCUCUCGGCCAUCAGCAGCCUUCAGGGAGCACACUGGAAAUGGCAGAGUUGCAUUUUUCUUCCCCAUGGAGUGAGAGUCUGUGUAUUUUUAGGAAAGAAAUCAGCGUGGGAUGCCGGAGGUUUGGCGGCCAGGAGUGCUCAUGAUGGAAAUUUCUCCGGCCUGGGGUAUAAUGAAGGGGAGAUGAAGAUCUGCAGGAGGGGAGUCUAUUUGCAUGCCACCUAAAGAAAAUCUCUCAAGCUGGCUUCCCGAUUCUUCCGCAGAGGUAUCAGCCUCUCCUUCGCAGCUGCGGAAGGAAGUUCUUUAAUUAGGCGGUGGCCAAAGAUUCUGUUCAACAGCUUCCUGGAGUGGAAUACAAUCAUCUAGUUGUACGCAAUGACGCAGUGAGAAAGUGGUCCAGAUUUGGGUGGCAGUGUCAGGGGAAUGGCAAGGUGGGGCAGAUGGCUCUGGAGGAAACUUGGGAAAGUAAAAACAAACUGGAAGAAAAGGAAAAAAGGAUAAUGACUUCCUUUGCCUCAGCCAGGCAAGCAGAGCAUAGAAUGACCAGGAAAAUUAACAACAUCUCAAUUAUUAAUGAAGAGAACCAAUUGUAAUGCUCAUUCAAAUAAGAAGUAUAUUGUAAAGCUACUGAGAUCUAAACCAAGUCAUUAUUAUCCUUACUAUAUUCCAUUGCUUGUAUCAAAAUCUACUUUUUUUUUUUUUUUUCUAGUAGGAAACUGUGCAUUCCCUAUCAAUCCCUUUGAUUAUCAGGAACAUAUAAGAAUUGUGAAAAAAUAGGCCAAUAUGCUAUUUGGUACCAUUUGUAUGUAUUUUAAAUGCAUAACCUAGGUAAAAUAAGAAUAGUUUCUAUGUGUAAAGAAGCAAGUUUUACAGUAUGCAGACUACAGUGGAUAUAUUUUAGGCUGUAUACAUAUUUAGCUCUUUUUGGUAAAUAGGGUGUACAAACUAUAUGCCUCUUAUUUCAAUAUAUUCGGUAAGCCUAUUAAUAAAAACUGGUUCAUGCCUAAUAUGGUUUUGAUCUCUGGUCUGCUUAAUAUGAAUAUGGCCACUUGAGUCACAAGUUUGCGGGGACACCCAUGGGCCACUGAGGGACAGCAGUAUCUUUGCAGCUCACUCUCUGUUUAGAUGGAAGGUAACCACCACAAGGGUCUUUUGCUUCUCCUACUUGGAAACUAAAAAAUCACCCAAAAGUCACUAAAAAUUCACUGAAGAGCUUCACGGUUACACUAUACCUGAUCUGUGGAAUUAUAAUUCUGACAGCUUGACAAAGAACUCUAGGAAUCUUUGGAUACCUUCUGAUUCUACAAGGUAAGGAGGAAGUGAGAUUGCAAGACCUCAUUGGUUAGGUUGAACCAUCAUGAACCCCUGAGGACAGUUUUUGUCUUGUUCUCUGCAUGUCUGGGAUCUCACCUGGCCCACAGUAGGCAUGCAGUGUUUGCCAUGUAUAUCUUCAUCUAAGACCCAUCUGGUUUAGUUGGACAAGUGAAGGCUCAGAAACC